CACUGGUCGAGUGAUCCUGCGCCGAAGAUUUCCGGGGCUAAAACUUACUACCGAAGCUACGGCAUCAGUAAUGAUGGGUAGGGGAGCUUCCCAUACAGGUUGAAGCAUGACCGUAAGGACAUGUGGACAGUAUGGGAGUGAGAAUGUUGGCAUGAGUAGCGAGAUGUGGGUGAGAAUCCCACAGGCCGUAAACCCAAGGUUUCCAGGGGAAGGUUCGUCCGCCC
rnacentral:rRNA from 1 species